AUUCUACUGUCUCAUCUGCUUUGGCAUCAGCGCUGAAUAGAUUUAAGACAUCUGCGCAUGUGUCUUCAGGUGCUGAAGAAAAACACCCUUCUCUGUACAUUGCCUAUUGGGCUGACACUUAAACAUUGCUCUGGGAUGUUGCAAACAGACCAAGCUAGAAAGGUACAAAAUGACUUUAUGUGCCUUAGUUGGAAUGUUGAUCUUAUUCUCUUAGACAAUCAACUUGUCUCUCUCUGCAUCCUAUUACACGCUGAGGACAGAAUAUUUGGAGGAUGUUGUACCUGCCCCCGAAACACUGCAACUCACUUCUGCUGCUUUGUAGGAGUUGGAAAAUUGAGAAACUAUAAAGAAGAGAUUCUACCCUGCACUGUGGAUUCCCAGUGUUUUAUUUUGGAUGCCUUAUUCACCCAAGAGCAACAAGUUACGAAGGCAUCGAGAAAGCAUGGACAACAGCUGAGUCUUAUCACUGUGUGGCAGGGAUGGAUUUCUGGAAGACAUGCAAGAAGAGGCUACUGAUGAGAGUGCACCCCAGUUGCAACAAGGAGUCACAUUAAAAGUACUGACCUGAGUCUCAGAAGACAUUUUGAACUUCUAAAUAAUAUUUAACCGAUGAUAAAUAAGAUACUGUAACCAGUAUCCUUCGCGUUCACUUUAAGAUAUAUUAAUUCCACACAGAUUCAACUCUUCUAACUGUCCAUGUUAAGGAUCCAUUGAAUUGGAGCUGUAUCAGUGCUCUUCAUGAAACAUAAAUGGUAAGCAGUACACAGAAAUUUAUACACCUUUCUCAGAUAACACUGUCAAUGCUAAAAUUAAAAGCAAAUCACAGAUUACAACAGCAUGAUUUAAAACUUAG
rnacentral:sRNA from 1 species